GCGGACGUGGUUUAAUGGUAGAAUGCAACCUUGCCAAGGUUGAGACGGGGGUCCGAUUCCCCUCGUCCGCU
rnacentral:tRNA from 1 species